rnacentral:rRNA from 1 species
GGUGGAUGCCUUGGCAGUCAGAGGCGAUGAAGGACGUAGAAACCUGCGAUAAGCGUUGGGGAGCUGGUAAACGAGCUUUGAUCCAACGAUUUCCGAAUGGGGAAACCCAUCCGUCAUAAGACGGAUAUCCUGCACUGAAUACAUAGGUGUAGGAAGCGAACCCGGAGAACUGAAACAUCUAAGUACCCGGAGGAAUAGAAAACAAUAGUGAUUCCCGUAGUAGCGGCGAGCGAACUGGGAACAGGCCAAACCAGCAAUGUUUCGGCAUAGCUGGGGUUGUAGGACAGAUAUAAGUUAUGUGAAGGUCUAUAAAAGCAUCUGGAAAGUUGCACCAUAGGGGGUGAUAGUCCCGUAUAUAUAUUAGAGCAUAAUGAUCUGUAUCCUGAGUAGCGCGGAACAUGUGAAAUUCUGUGUGAAUCUGCCAGAACCAUCUGGUAAGCCUAAAUAUGUCAAGAGACCGAUAGUGAACAAGUACCGUGAGGGAAAGGUGAAAAGAACCCUGAAUAAGGGAGUGAAAUAGAACCUGAAACCAGCUGUCUACAAGCGGUCGAAGCCUUCGGGCGACGGCGUGCCUUUUGCAUAAUGAGCCUACGAGU